rnacentral:lncRNA from 1 species
GUUCUUUUUGCAUUAUUGUUGUACUCAGUUUAUAUUAAAGUUUUUUAAUAAUUUUGAUGAAGUCUUAUUUAUUUAUUUAUUGUUGUUGUUGCUCAUACUUUGGUAUCAUAUCUUGGAAUCCAUUGCCAAAUCCAAGGUCACCAAGAUUUACCCCUAUGUUUUCUUCUAAGAGUUUUAUGGUUUUUGCUUUUAUAUUUAGAUCAUUGAUCCAUUUUGAGUUAAAUUUUGUAUAUGGUGUGAGGUAGGGGCCCAACUUCAUUUUUUUCCAUGUGGAAAUCCAGUUGUGCUAGCACCAUCUUUUGAAGAGACUAUACAUUCCCCCAUUGAAUGGAUUUGCUACCCUUGUCAAAAAUCAAUUGGCUAUAAAUGACAGGGUUUAUUUCCGGACAUCUAAUUAUAUUCCACUGGUCUCUGUGUCUAUUCUUAUGCCAGUAUCAUACUGUUUUGAUUUCUGUAGUUUCGUCAAUUUUGAAAUCAGAAAUCACUCCAGCCUGGGUGACAGAGCGAGACUCCGUCUCAAAAAAAAAAAAAAAAAAAAAGAAAUGAGGUCUCACUCUGUCGCCCAUUCUGGGGUGCAGUGGCACGAUCAUAGCUCACUACAGCCUCAAACUCCUGGGGUCAAGCAAUCCUUCUACCUCGGCUUCCAAGUAGUUGGAGCUAUAGCUGCACACCAUUGUGCAUGGCUAAUUUUUAUUCAUUUACUUUUUAUAGAGAGGAAGUCUCACUAUGUUGCCCAGGCUAGUCUUAAACUCCUCAAGUGAUCCUCCUGCCUUGGCCUUCCAAAGUGCUGGGAUUAGCGGCAGCGGCCACUGUGCCUGGCCAAUUCUUGUUCAGCUACAAUUUAUUUUCCUAUUGCUUUUUGGAAUGUAAUUUAAACUUUACACUUUAGUUAUCCCAUUUGUCAAAUGCAUACAUGAUUUUGUGGCCAACAACUUGUACGUGGACACAGUAAAGUUAAAAAAAUAAAGAUGCACAGGAUUUUGAUGCUGAUAGGCAUCAUAAAAUAAUGUGAUCCAAACUAAGGAGAUAUCUGAGCAGAGACAUUAAAAAGACUGCCCUAAGUUUUUUUUAAAUCUAUAAAAGAGCUCAUCCAGCAUACAAGUGUCCUGCUUUCUGAUCCAGCGGUCUUUCCAGCACCCCAGGCUUGGUUGUCAGAAUAGCAUUUGCUCAUAAGGUGUUUUAAUUAUUAAUACAGUAUACUAAAUCCCAGGAGUAGAAUAAGCCUCAUUAUCAUGGUUAGUAAGUCAGCCCAAAGCAAUCUGAUAUUCCUGUAAAACUGAAUGGAUUUUAAAGUAAAACAUCCUUGGGCUCACUGGCCUCAGAGGGGGACAUCAUCUCAUUUACCUAUUUUUCAAAAACCCCAUAAAUGAGUGUUUGGUAUGGACAUUCAUUAUGUCUUAAGCUUUAUUGAUUCUGUUAUGUUGCUAUUAAUUAUAGGAACCACAAAAGCCUUCAAUUAGAUUAAAGCCAUAAUAAAUAAGAUUAGUAACACU